rnacentral:lncRNA from 1 species
AAAAUUAGUCUUCUAGGUCCAGUAGCAAAUUAUGCAUCCUGGACUUCCACAACUGACUUCAGCAGCACUGGAAAGCAGCAUUGCUGGGAAUAAUGAAGUAGGAAGCUUCCUUGCUGAGUCUAGAAUGAUCACCCACUUCCAUCAUACUGCUUUCGAGUGAAAUCUAAAAGUUUCUUGUAAGAGUCAUAGAAAUUAUCCAAGAUUAUUCAUAGAAAUUUAGCAAAAUGAUAGAAAUCAUUGAUUCCAGAGAACAGAUUUAUUUAAAAACCCAAGAGUUCUGCUCUAAAAAAAUGUUUUAAAGAAAAAAAAGAUGUCCUCCAAUAUUACAGUACCCUAAAGCUUUAGAGGCCCUUGGUUAUAUCAGUUUUGACCAUCUACAUCCACUCUCUUUUCUAAGUUAUUAUUAUUUUUUAUUUUAUGGCCACACCCAAGGCAUAUGGAAAAUCUCAGGCCAGGAUUGAAUGCCAGCCUCAGCUGUGGCAGUGCCAGGUCCUUAAUUCAAUUCACCGAGCCAAGGAUGGAACCUGCACCUCCACCGUGACCCAAGCCACUGCAGUCAGGUUCCUAACCCACUGGGCCAUGGCGGGAACUCCUAUAUCCACGCUCUUUCUAAAUGCCACAGAAAGGAAAAGGGCAUAGAAAGUAUCACUGAUUUUGCCUCUUUACUGCCUAUCUUUUGAAGAGGUUGCAAACCUAGUCUGGGAUGGCUUUGUUUGGUUUAGGUUUUUCUUUCUCCCCAGGUGAGCAGCCACAGGCAGCUAUCCUCUUGUGCUUGUGGACCUGGGACCAGAGAAAUGGCAUCACCUGGGAGCAGAACCUCAGCUCCAGCCCAGACCUGCUGAGUCAGAACCUUCAAAGUAACAGGACCCCCAGAGGGUUCCUUUCCCAUUCAGGUCUGAGAAGAGCUGGGUCUGAGUAGGGCUCAGCCCAUGCUGAAUUACGGUGUCACAGGUCGGUUUUUAGUUUGAAGGGAUGUAUUCUUUGGGAGCAAAAAACACAGACUCAAAUUACUUCCAGAAGCAGAAGUUUUACAGAUGGGUUGAGCUGGAGUCUAAAGUCAAGAUCCGAGGCAGCUCUAGGGACCGGCUACCCUCUGCCUCUGCUGCCUCCUCCCUUUGUCUUCCCCUUGGCCUGUCAUGGUCCUUCCCCCAGGGCUUGGUUCCAUCAUCACAUCCUUUCCACUUCAGCUCUUACUGGGGCCUGAUUGCCUCCAUAUUUGCCAAAUCAGAUUCUCAAGAGCUAGAAUCCGAUUGGCCCGUGUCCAUGUUUUGCUCGCAGCCACCCAUAGGUCACCGGCCAGCCUAUGGACGGGACUCUUCGGUCAGAUCCGUGGGAAGCAAGUUGUCUGCAAGUUGUCUGCGCCUUGACUGGAAAGAGGCCUGAGAGGCAGGCUCCUGACCAAUCAAUCUAAUCACGGCUUAUAAGAAACACAGCAUGAAAUUCUGAAUGCAUCUUGGGUAAAAGCACUUACCUGUUUCCCAAAGCACGUCGUUUUGAGCCAAGCCAAGAGAACACGUUCCUCAAUUCACAUAUUGCCAGAUCAGUGCCAGCGCAGGAGAGGGAAAGAUGAGUGUAGGGAGCUGAACAUUCGUUUUAAGAUCUUCUGUGGGCCCGUUCAUUUUAGAGACAUCUCAUACGAUACAGACUGUGUCCAUGGAAGCCUAGUGAGAGAUGGUUCCCCUGGCUGAGAUUUGGUGGGUGAUUAUUUAGAAGACAGGGAGUUCCCGUCUGGUUAACGAAUCCGACUAGGAACCAUGAGGUUGCGGGUUCGGUCCCUGCCCUUGCUCAGUGGGGUAACGAUCCGGCGUUGCCGUGAGCUGUGGUGUAGGUUGCAGACGCGGCUCGGAUCCUGAGUUGCUGUGGCUCUGGCGUAGGCCGUGGGCUACAGCUCCGAUU